rnacentral:rRNA from 1 species
GAUGAACGCUGGCGGCGUGCCUAAUACAUGCAAGUCGAGCGAACGUACGAGAAGCUUGCUUUUCUGAUGUUAGCGGCGGACGGGUGAGUAACACGUGGAUAACCUACCUAUAAGACUGGGAUAACUUCGGGAAACCGGAGCUAAUACCGGAUAAUAUUUUGAACCGCAUGGUUCAAAAGUGAAAGACGGUCUUGCUGUCACUUAUAGAUGGAUCCGCGCUGCAUUAGCUAGUUGGUAAGGUAACGGCUUACCAAGGCAACGAUGCAUAGCCGACCUGAGAGGGUGAUCGGCCACACUGGAACUGAGACACGGUCCAGACUCCUACGGGAGGCAGCAGUAGGGAAUCUUCCGCAAUGGGCGAAAGCCUGACGGAGCAACGCCGCGUGAGUGAUGAAGGUCUUCGGAUCGUAAAACUCUGUUAUUAGGGAGGAACAUAUGUGUAAGUAACUGUGCACAUCUUGACGGUACCUAAUCAGAAAGCCACGGCUAACUACGUG